rnacentral:lncRNA from 1 species
CGGUCCUCUUAUUUACCUUGUGAGUCAGAAAUUCAUAAAAUUUCUAAGCUCAUCAUCCAAGACUGUGAUGUAUCAGCAUUGCCUCCCAUACCUUCAAGUCAAUAAGGCUCAUCUGGAGAAAAAGUGAUCCCACAACCAAGCCUCAUGGGGUCUUGGGGAAUUUCCAUUUGAACCUGGCUGUCUGAAGUAAGUAGAGAACUUUGGGAAGUUUCCACUUGGGGGAUCUGCUAUCUGAUUUCUUCCCUUCAGUUCACCCUCUAGGGGCCUUGCAAAUGCAGCUUAAGGUUAUUUGAGCCUCUUCGUUGGCCUUAUCUUUCCAUGCUAUCUGUCUUCUCAAAAGCUGACCUGGCAGAGGCUUUGGUGACACAGGCUUAAGGUUGCAACAG